ensembl:misc_RNA
UUCUCAGGCUGAUGGAGAGAGUGACGAGUGGGUUGCCAGCUAUAGUCAGCGUGCACAAUGGCUGCGGGGAAUAUAUUCAGACAUGCCCAAGGAGGUCUGCCCAGGGGGAAACACAUACCUUUGAGGU